AUACGGAAGGUGCAAGCGUUAAUCGGAAUCACUGGGCGUAAAGCGCACGUAGGCUGUGUGGUAAGUCAGGGGUGAAAUCCCGCAGCUCGACUGCGGAAUUGCACUUGAUACUGCAUUGCUUGAGUUCGGGAGAGGGUAGUGGAAUUCCAGGUGUAGGAGUGAAAUCCGUAGAGAUCUGGAGGAACACCAGUGGCGAAGGCGACUACCUGGACCGAUACUGACACUGAGGAGCGAAAGCGUGGGGAGC
rnacentral:rRNA from 1 species